rnacentral:rRNA from 1 species
UACGGGGGGGGCAAGCGUUGUUCGGAAUUACUGGGCGUAAAGGGCUCGUAGGCGGCCAACUAAGUCAGACGUGAAAUCCCUCGGCUUAACCGGGGAACUGCGUCUGAUACUGGAUGGCUUGAGUUCGGGAGAGGGAUGCGGAAUUCCAGGUGUAGCGGUGAAAUGCGUAGAUAUCUGGAGGAACAACGGUGGCGAAGGCGGCAUCCUGGACCGAUACUGACGCUGAGGAGCGAAAGCGAGGGGAGCAAACGGG